ensembl:lncRNA
GUGCCGUGGUUCUUAUGUGCCGUGGUUCUUAUGUGCCGUGGUUCCUUCCUUACUAACAGGGAGUUUUUCCUUGCCUCUGCUGCCAUUGUGCUUGCACUAAGGGGGUCCAGGCUCUGGGCUCUGUAAUGCGCCUUGAGACAAUUGUAUUGUUAAGGCGCUAUGUAAAUAAAAUUGAAUUGAAUUGAAUUUAUGGAUCUAAUUUCAACAUGUCUACAGGUUACCUGUGAUAUGGACUGUUUAACUAUUCCUGUACAUGACAGCUGUAAGGAACAGAGGAGUCUGAUGAGUUUGUUUGCCUUAUGAGAGAUUUAUUUAUGGGCUUUUUAGCCUUUAUUUGGAUAGGACAGUGAGGAGGAGUGAAGAGGUGGGGAGAGGAUGGGAGGGAAACGUCAGCAGGUCAGAAUCGAACCUGUGUCCCCGCGGGCAUUGGAGCCCGUAAAUGGGGGGCUUAUUCACUCGUGCCACAGUGCCCCCCCCCCCCCCCCCACCUUAUGAGAGAUUUAUUUUGAGUGUUAAACUGUACAUUCCACAAAGCGAAGAUCAGAAACGACAAACAGUGACUUAGGUUUCCAUUCUAUUCCUUUUCUGAACUCAUUCUGCUGUAGGUCUUAGGUGCCUGGCAUCGAGACCUUUUUGCAACUUCAACUUCCCACUCGCUUGUGAAAUGCAUCGCAGUGCGUGUUUAAGUAAUUGUGUUGGGAUGGGGGUCAUUGAUGAUUUUGAUGAGAAGAUCAGGAAAGUGAGUUCAGGGAGGAUUCCAGGAGUACACCAGGUUGUGGGGGUGUUAUAGAGGUAGUCAUGGUGAUUCCAGGAGUACACUAGAGUGUGGGGGUGUUAUAGAGGUAGUCAUGGUGAUUCCAGGAGUACACCAGGUUGGAGGGGUGUCACAGAGGUAGUCAUGGUGAUUCCAGGAGUACACCAGGUUGUGGGGG